rnacentral:rRNA from 1 species
UAGGGAAUCUUCCACAAUGGGCGAAAGCCUGAUGGAGCAACGCCGCGUGUGUGAUGAAGGGUUUCGGCUCGUAAAACACUGUUGUAAGAGAAGAAUGACAUUGAGAGUAACUGUUCAAUGUGUGACGGUAUCUUGCCAGAAAGGAACGGCUAAAUACGUGCCAGCAGCCGCGGUAAUA